UACGAAGGGGGCUAGCGUUGCUCGGAAUUACUGGGCGUAAAGCGCACGUAGGCGGCUUCUUAAGUCGGUGGUGAAAUCCUGGAGCUCAACUCCAGAACUGCCUUCGAUACUGGGAGCUCGAGUCCGGGAGAGGUGAGUGGAACUGCGAAGUGUAGAGGUGAAAUUCGUAGAAUAUUCGCAAGAACACCAGUGGCGAAGGCGGCUCACUGGCCCGGUACUGACGCUGAGGUGCGAAAGCGUGGGGAGCAAACAGGG
rnacentral:rRNA from 1 species